rnacentral:rRNA from 1 species
AUUGAACGCUGGCGGCAUGCCUUACACAUGCAGGUCGAACGGCAGCGGACCUUCGGGUGCCGGCGAGUGGCGAACGGGUGAGUAAUAUAUCGGAACGUGCCUUUCAGUGGGGGGAUAACGUAGCGAAAGUUACGCUAAUACCGCAUAUUCUGUGAGCAGGAAAGCAGGGGAUCGCAAGACCUUGCGCUGAUUGAGCGGCCGAUAUCAGAUUAGCUAGUUGGUGAGGUAAAGGCUCACCAAGGCGACGAUCUGUAGCGGGUCUGAGAGGAUGAUCCGCCACACUGGAACUGAGACACGGUCCAGACUCCUACGGGAGGCAGCAGUGGGGAAUUUUGGACAAUGGGCGCAAGCCUGAUCCAGCCAUGCCGCGUGAGUGAAGAAGGCCUCGGUUG